rnacentral:rRNA from 1 species
GAUGAACGCUGGCGGCGUGCCUAAUACAUGCAAGUCGAGCGAACAGAUAAGGAGCUUGCUCCUUUGACGUUAGCGGCGGACGGGUGAGUAACACGUGGGUAACCUACCUAUAAGACUGGAAUAACUCCGGGAAACCGGGGCUAAUGCCGGAUAACAUUUAGAACCGCAUGGUUCUAAAGUGAAAGAUGGUUUUGCUAUCACUUAUAGGUGGACCCGCGCCGUAUUAGCUAGUUGGUAAGGUAACGGCUUACCAAGGCAACGAUGCGUAGCCGACCUGAGAGGGUGAUCGGCCACACUGGAACUGAGACACGGUCCAGACUCCUACGGGAGGCAGCAGUAGGGAAUCUUCCGCAAUGGGCGAAAGCCUGACGGAGCAACGCCGCGUGAGUGAUGAAGGUCUUCGGAUCGUAAAACUCUGUUAUUAGGGAAGAACAAAUGUGUAAGUAACUGUGCACGUCUUGACGGUACCUAAUCAGAAAGCCACGGCUAACUACGUG